GGUACUUAGUUGCAUCUGGUUAGCAACCGACCCCAACAUAGCUGGGUAAGGGGAUGAUGAAUGAAAAUAAUGAACAACAAGAUACUGAAACCACACAAAACCCUGUAACAACGAAACAAAAGAUUCUUAAAACGAUCUACAUAUUUCAUUCGUUACCGCACUGGAAGAAAAUCUGUCACUGCAUCGAUUUAAAAGUGGCUUGCUAUGCUGUAUGCGUACUUUAUGUACUUUUCAUAGUAAGUAUAAGUUAUUAAGUAAUCACGCCACAGUUGCCAAUAAACUCACCCAGCACUUAGGUAAGCUCUGUGUUUCAAAGGGAAACGAUUGACUGCCCAAGAUCAGAAGUAUUUAAGACGUAGGACGAGUAGAACGUUACUGUUUUCGUAAAACGUGUUUGGAUUAGACGUUAGAUUAAUAAAGCCUAAAAUUAGUAAUUUUAGGUGCGAAGUGCGUAACCCGAACUUAAGCAUUUUAAUUUUAAUUAGAUCUUGCCUACUUACUGGUUAUGUAUAUUUGUAUGACACCUGCAGGCCACAAGUCCGAAAACUUCCGAUCUAAACCAAAAUAUUUUGUGGCUAUUCAUAAUUAUUUUACAGGGCGAAGCAUUUUCCGGAAAAACAACUGUCAAGAGAUUCAAUCAAUGCUAUACAUUAGGUCCUCUCAUGCACGGACUUGGCUACGUAUCCAUCGGUUUAAUUAUAUUAACAUUUUUUGCAUGUUUGUUUUUCUUAUAUGGAAUUGCAAUGGAAAGUCCGAUUCCAACUCUUUGUUUUAUGUACUUAACAACAUUGCUAAUAUUAUUCAACACAGUUACGAAUGCUUUAUUAUUAUUUAUUGAAACGAAAUACAAGUGUUACGCUCCGUUUCUUUUUGGCGGUGCUACUUAUUUUGGUGCAAUAUUGUUAAUAUUUUGUUUAGUGGUGGUCAACAGCUUUUAUCGGCAUAUUAUAGCUAAGUAAGACACUUUUGUGACUACAAGUAUGAUGGAAUUUUACCGAGCUUCUUAAGGAAAAUCAUGAUUUGACAGAAUCGUCUUUAUGGACACCUGCACAAUUAUCUCAUCGGAUUAAUAGUUAUAAAAAUUGACCAAUUAUCAAUUAAGUAGUAGCAGACACUCGGAUAGAGUUAUUCAAAGAAGGUUAUGCUAACUUGCACUUAAAAACAACGUGUUAAGAUCUAAUUUUGAUGGUUAUUUAUUGUAAUACUUAUGCCUACCCUACA